UACGUAGGGGGCAAGCGUUGUCCGGAUUUAUUGGGCGUAAAGAGCGUGUAGGCGGCCAGGUAGGUCAGCUGUGAAAACUCGAGGCUCAACCUCGAGACGUCGGUUGAAACCACCUGGCUAGAGUCCGGAAGAGGAGAGUGGAAUUCCUGGUGUAGCGGUGAAAUGCGCAGAUAUCAGGAAGAACACCCGUGGCGAAGGCGGCUCUCUGGGACAGUACUGACGCUGAGACGCGAAAGCGUGGGGAGCGAACAGG
rnacentral:rRNA from 1 species